rnacentral:ncRNA from 2 species
UAAUUAAAUAGUCUCCGAACUGUAAGCCUAACGCCAAUCAGCUAUGGCAAGCAGUCCUUAGGGUAAUUUCGGAAACGUAUCUACCUCCCAUUGCGGAAAGGAGACAUGAACUUAACGGC